rnacentral:rRNA from 1 species
GAUGAACGCUGGCGGCGUGCCUAAUACAUGCAAGUCGAGCGAAUGGAUUAAGAGCUUGCUCUUAUGAAGUUAGCGGCGGACGGGUGAGUAACACGUGGGUAACCUGCCCAUAAGACUGGGAUAACUCCGGGAAACCGGGGCUAAUACCGGAUAACAUUUUGAACCGCAUGGUUCGAAAUUGAAAGGCGGCUUCGGCUGUCACUUAUGGAUGGACCCGCGUCGCAUUAGCUAGUUGGUGAGGUAACGGCUCACCAAGGCAACGAUGCGUAGCCGACCGGAGAGGGUGAUCAGCCACACUGGGACUGGGACACGGCCCAGACUCCUACGGGAGGCAGCAGGAGGGAAUCUUCCGCAAUGGACGAAAGUCUGACGGAGCAACGCCGCGUGAGUGAUGAAGGCUUUCGGGUCGUAAAACUCUGUUGUUAGGGAAGAACAAGUGCUAGUUGAAUAAGCUGGCACCUUGACGGUACCUAACCAGAAAGCCACGGCUAACUACGUGCCAGCCGCCGCGGUAA